rnacentral:rRNA from 1 species
CAAUAGCGUAUAUUAAAGUUGUUGCAGUUAAAAAGCUCGUAGUUGGAUUUCUGGUUGGAGCGACCGGUCGGGCAUUGAUUUGUCUGCACUGGAGUCGGUUCUGGCCAUCCUCUUGGAAAGUGCGUCUGUCAUUAAGUUAUCGGGCGUAUGAUCCAGGUCUUUUACUGUGAAAAAAUUAGAGUGUUUAAAGCAGGCCUUCGCCUUGAAUACAUUAGCAUGGAAUAAUAAGAUAGGACUUUGGUCUAUUUUGUUGGUUUGCAGACCGAAGUAAUGAUUAAUAGGGAUAGUUGGGGGUAUUUAUAUUCCAAUGUCAGAGGUGAAAUUCUUAGAUUUUUGGAAGAUAAACUUAUGCGAAAGCAUUUACCAAGGAUGUUUUCAUUAA